GAUGAACGCUGGCGGCGUGCCUAAUACAUGCAAGUCGAACGAGGCCCUCUUCCUUCGGGAGGAGGUGUCCUAGUGGCGAACGGGUGAGUAUCACGUUGGUGACCUACCCCGAAGAAGGGGACAACCCCGGGAAACUGGGGCUAAUACCCUAUGUGAUCCUAAGGACUAGAUGCCUAAGGAUGAAAGGGAGCAAUCCGCUUCGGGAGGGGCCUGCGGCCUAUCAGCUAGUUGGUGAGGUAAUGGCUCACCAAGGCGACGACGGGUAGGGGACCUGAGAGGGUGACCCCCCACACUGGAACUGAAACACGGACCAGACACCUACGGGUGGCAGCAGUAGGGAAUAUUGCACAAUAGGCGAAAGCCUGAUGCAGCAACGCCGCGUGUGCGAUGAAGGCCUUAGGGUUGUAAAGCACUUUUCUGGGGGACGAGAAAGGACGGUACCCCAGGAAUAAGUCUCGGCUAACUACGUG
rnacentral:rRNA from 1 species